rnacentral:rRNA from 1 species
AUGAGCGGCGGCGUCAGCGGCGUGGAGUCGUCCUCCUCCUCGGGGAGUUGUGGUGCGGCGGGGGUGGCGCCGUUCGUGGCCAAGACUUACGGGAUGAUGGACGACCGGGCCACCGACGGCGUCGUCGCGUGGGGGCCCGCCGGCAACAGCUUCGUCGUCGCCGACCCCUUCGCCUUCUCGGAGAUGCUGCUGCCCGCGCACUUCAAGCACGCCAACUUCUCCAGCUUCGUCCGGCAGCUCAACACCUACGGCUUCCGCAAGGUGGACCCGGACCGGUGGGAGUUCGCGCACGCCUCCUUCCUCCGCGGCCAGACCCACCUCCUGCGCCGCAUCGUCCGGCGCCAGAGCAGCAAGCGCGGCAAGGAUAGCAAGGAGGAGGAGGACGACGACGGCAGCAGCAGCGCGACGGCGCUGGCCAUGGAGGUGGUGCGGCUGAGGAAUGAGCAGAGGGCCGCGGAGGAGCGCGUGGCGGCCAUGUGGCGCCGGGUGCAGGAGACGGAGCGCCGGCCCAAGCAGAUGCUCGCCUUCCUGCUCAAGGUCGUCGGCGACCCCGACGUGCUGCGCCGCCUUGCGGGCGAGGGUGCGGGCGCGGGGGACAAGAGGCCGCGGCUGCUUCUGGACGGCAGACAAGAGCAGAGGAUGUCCGUCGACGGCGCGGGGGUGGGGGUGGUCGGGCUGUCGUACCACAAUCACAGCAACCUGAACCUGGAGGAGGCCUAUGUGCUGGAGCCCGGCGUGGACUUGUACUGCGCCGGAGGCGACGCGCAGGCGGACGGCGGCGGCGGCGGACACCCGCCGUACGCGUUCCACGUCGACAGCGGUUACUGA